rnacentral:rRNA from 1 species
UAAGGAAUAUUGGACAAUGGAGGCAACUCUGAUCCAGCCAUCCCGCGUGCAGGAUGACGGCCCUAUGGGUUGUAAACUGCUUUUGCGAGGGAAGAAACGGUGCUAUUUAUAGCAUUUUGACGGUACCUCGAGAAUAAGCACCGGCUAACUCCGUGCCAGCAGCCGCGGUAAUACGGAGGGUGCAAGCGUUAUCCGGAAUCACUGGGUUUAAAGGGUGCGUAGGCGGCAUUAUAAGUCAGAGGUGAAAGCCCGUCGCUUAACGAUGGAACUGCCUUUGAUACUGUAGUGCUUGAAUCAAGUUGAGGCUGGCGGAAUGUGGCAUGUAGCGGUGAAAUGCAUAGAUAUGCCAUAGAACACCAAUUGCGAAGGCAGCUGGCUGGACUUGAAUUGACGCUGAGGCACGAAAGCGUGGGGAGCGAACAGG